AGCUCAUCUAAAGAUAGAGUGCAAUCCAUGCAAGCGCAUUCUAAACAAAUCAACCAAUCUUGGAGAAAAGUCUAUGACCAAGCCAGAUAGAAGAGCCUACCCCAAAACAAGGACAGUCUCCACAAGCACACACAGAGGGCAAACUACCAAGCUGCUCUCCACAAGCACACACA